UGGAGGCGAAGGCGCGUACACAUA
rnacentral:siRNA from 1 species